UAUGAAGGGGAAGAGGACAGAGGCCUCUUGAGUUGAGAGAAGAAACAACGUAGGAAAUCUCGCUUCCCCUAAACAAGAUUACACUGUAUUUCAUAAGCUAGAAAAUAGACCUCUUUAUUUUUAGCACAUCAAACUGGUGUCCACAAAAGGAGAGCCCAGGAGAGAUUUGUUUCCUGUAAGAAGCAGUAUGUAUUUAACAGAGGUCUUCUGAGGUGGGCACCCUGCUUUGUGGUAGCCCUUGCUGUGGUGUACAGGAGCUAUUGCUGGGUAGAUUCUGAAUGUUUAUUUACCUGAAGCUACUGAAUAUUUUCUUUAGACUUGUAUAAAGCCCUGGCUCCCCCUUUUUUUUAUCAACUCCCCAUAUUUUUUUACAUUGCCUUUCUGCUGCUUUCUCAGGCUCCUUGCUCCCCUUCAUCUGUGUCUCUUACUAGCAAUAUAGUAUCAGUCUUGCUUCUCUGAGAUGAGGGGAUCUUCUGCCCCUCCCCGGGGCCACAGAACUGGCAGCAAGGUGGAGAUGGGGCACAACUGGCCCAGACCAGAUUUGCCGAGUGGUGGUGAUGGUUCUUGGGAGGAGGCAUUGGAGUCACUCCCCAAACUCCCCCCAAUCCUUUUUUGCUUGAUGGAUUCUGAAGGACCAUCCCAGGGCAGAUAUAGCCUCUGAUCCAGGUGUGGAAUCAUCAGGAUGAUACGUGGAUCAUGGCUGGAAAAGGGUGUGUGCAGUGUGAGGCCGAAGGACCUUGCAUGUUUGCACAGCUUGAGGGGCUGGUUCAGGGCCAUCCUUUGGUAAGCAUCCCAUAGCAAGGCCAGGACAGAUGGCAGACUGGGCCUCACGGCCAGUGGUUGAAGCAUUAAAGCACUUGGUGGUGGUUGAGCCAAGCAAGGGCAUGGCGGUGUGGAGGUGGUGACAGAAGCUCACAGGCAGAGCCGAAGCUGGGGGAGAUGAAAAGCAGGUGAGGCUGGCUGGGAGCUGGCUGCAGGGCCUCCUGCCCGGUGUCUUCAUGUCGUCCCCCCAACCAGGAGAGCUUCCUCAAGGCCCCGCCUGUGGCCAGGGCCCACUUCCAGGUAACUGCCUGCACUGACCCCUCACCGCUACUCCUUGGUGGUGCAACGUGGGGGGCCUGCCUCGGCAACAUAGCCUGGGGGGCAGUGGCAGCGGUAGGAGCCCUCCGUGUUCUCGCAGUGACCUUGGACACAGAGUGCUGCAGGCCCGUUCAAGUCAUCACAUUCAUUCACAUCUAAGAGGAGGAGAGGGAAGAGAGAGCUGUAGGGAGCCCACGUGCCUCCGGCCUGCUGCCUCUGCCCCUCUGGCCACUAAGCCCUGACCCCUGCCCUGCAGUGCAAUCCUAGAUGUGGUGGCCGGAGGAUAAAGCCACUGCCCGAAAGGAAACAACUCACGGAUACAAAGCCGGUGAUAGUGAGCCCAUACUGUGACCAUGCUGUCUUGUCCCUGCCUUUCUUCUAUCUGGGAACCUCCAUGGAAAGGGCUUUCUAAACACAGCGUAGACCUUUGGAGCUCUCACCCCUCGGCCUGGAGACCGGCAGGCCUGCUAGGGGGCAGCAGUGAAUCUCCCAGCUAGGCUCAGUCCUGUACCCUCAGUGAGCAGUGGGCCAGUCUGACUUUUCCACAUGGAGCCAGCAGGGCCGUCCUGCUCCCUGGGCAUUGCCACUCUGAUUCCAAACCUACCCACACACGCCAUGUUGGCCAUGUCCAGCUGGAAGCCCUCGAAGCAGUCACAGGUGUAGCCCUCCUGCACGCGCACGCAGCGGCCAUUCUCACAGCCGUUCAGGAUGCCGCACUCCUCGGCCUGAAGCCCUUCAAAGCCGGCCUGGUGCUCUGGUAGGAGGGAGUCAGAGAGAGAAGGGGUCUAAGGCCUUGUACUCCACCCUGGGGGCCUCGCCCUCUGCUCAGAGGGUUUCCCCUAAUGAGCUCCUGGGGUCGGGGUGGGAAGGAUCAUAACACUCUCACAGAUGCUGAGACAAAAAGCAAUACUCUUAAAAAUAAGUAUGUGUCAUUUUAGAUGGAGAGGCAUGCUUACUUUAAAUGAGGGCUCUGGGGAGGUUGGGACUCAUUGCUUUCACAACGCCAGGGCUCCUGAGCGCUUGGGUGUCCCUGUACAGUUUUGAUUUUGUUGUGGUUGGUGGCAGGGUAUUUUGUUAAAAUCUUUACAUAGUUUUUUUGGGGCGGACACGAUUGGUAGCAAAAGGGAAUUACCCUCACUCACCACAAAGCAAAACUCCUCCAAGAUCUGCCUAACCCUCUUCUUUCUCUAAGCAACCCCCCUCUCCUGGAAACGACCCUGUCCGUAAUCUCAGUGCAGUUUUGAUCAGUCUGAUGCAGUGGCUGUCCCCGUGGCAGGUACCGCAUCCACUGCACAGAUGCCACGUCCGACUUCCUCAUUAGAAUCCAAGUCCCGAGUGCUGGGGUCAUUGCCACUUACAAACUGGGUGACCACAGUGGACCUUUAAAGUGAUUAGAAAUCCUUGAUUCCCAUUUCAGGUCACAAGUGUGAACCUGUAGAGCAGGGUAUCCUGCAAACUGUAAGUGGCGUGGUGGGAGUGUGCUUUUGUCCCCCUCUUCAACUCCCACAGGCAGCUUUUGGGGUUGGGAUGAUGCCCUGUACCUCUCUGUGUCCCCUGUGCUAGUCCAUCAGAGGGAGGUGUUAAUGUGUGACCCGGGCGUUUGGAGUUCUCCCUUGAGUGACCCGUGAGGGGGCUUGGGGGUCUUUUCCCUUCCCUGUCCUCACCCUGCUGACAGUGAUGAGCAGAUGGAGGAGAUGGAAGUGAAACAGCUUCAGAGCCCACCUCUUCCCCAUUUUUGCAGCAACACAGACCUGGAUGGCUGGCCACGUAGUGGGGCUGGAGUUCUGAGGGCUGCAGGGGAGGCUCAAGGACCGGUGUGCGGUCCUCUGGGCGGCUGGCCGUGUUGGGGAAGGGCGGCUCAGGGAUGGUGUCCUCGGGGCCCAGGUAGUUGUAGAAGGGGACCCCGUCUGGGCCAUAGAGGCUGUAGUGCAGGUCCUCGGGCCCAGGGCCAUACUCAUAGCCGGGCCGGAAGUGGACCCCGGCCUCCCGCUCCGCUUCAAUGCGGGCCACGUUGCACAGCUGAGCGUAGACCUCUGUCAGGGAGGAGGGAGAGAGGAAGCUGGGCCUGGCUCCUGGUAGCUGAAGCCUGGAGUGCUCUUUCCCCAGCUCAUGCUCACCGCCCCACGGAGAGAGGGAACGUGCUGGGACUGCCGUCCUCUGUCCCCCGUUCUGUCCCCAAACAACAGGGACGGAAGACUUGCCCUACUCCGUUGACUUGCCCUACUCCGUUCUAAACCCACAGACCUGGCUGGCUGUGGAUUCCAAGGUGAGGACAGUCCCUACCCUGGGGCCCAGCCCAGCUCCGCAGGUGUCCCCCCUUCCCUCCUUCAGGCACAGGCCGCCCUUCUCACCAGAGCUCCUGGGGGGGCACAGAGCACACUGCUGGCUCCAGGCCUCGCCGUCCUGGCAGCAGCACUCAGUGUAGGUGGUGUGGCGCCCGUGCAGGGGAUGGCUGCACACGUAAUUGGUGACUUUUUUCCAGCAGAUGUCCGUGUGGAUGUCAUGGUCAGGCAGGUCCUCUGGCGGCACAGGGCGUGGAGGCAUGUGAGCCCCCCAGCCCAGGUCUGCUCCCCCGGCUGCCCCACCGCCCCACGGCCCCCCCACUGACCCGCACUGCUGGUGCUGUUCACGCAGCGCUGCUGGCUGAGGUCCAGGGUGAGGGGCGGGCUGCAGAAGCAGUGGAAAGAGCCUUCCGUGUUCAUACACCCGCCAUUCUCACAGGCCAUGUCCUGGCACUCAUCGUGAUCUGGGAGGCAGGGAGAUGGGAGGAAGGUCGGGGGCAGUGCCAACGCGGCCUGCCCACAGGCCACCUUCAGGGAAGGGGGUUUUCUUGUAACUGUGUCCCCUCCUCACUCCCUUCCCAGGGAUGCCUUUCCGGUAGGUUCCCUCACCUCAGACCUGCCCGCUGUAGUGGGUGUCUUCCCCGGGAAGGGGAACUCCCAGCAAGAGUUGGGCUGGCUGGCAGGGGUGGGUGAGCACUGAGCUCUGGGCCCCAGGGUGGGGAGGGGUGCCGGGUGUCUCACCCUCACACUUCCUGCGGGCAGCGUCGUAGUGGUAGCCAGGAUCACACAGGCAGAUGUAGCCAGGCACCGUGUUGAGGCACCGGCCGUUCUGGCAGAGACCGGGCCCAAACAUCACACACUCGUCGGCAUCUGUGGGAGGGCAGAGCUGAGGCGAGGGGAAGGCGAGAAGCAGGAUGGGGCAGUUCUUAGGAAUAGGGGUUCCAAAGCCAGGCUGGCUGGGGUCGAAUCCCGGCCUUGCCACUUGCUAGGUGGGUGACUUCGGGCAAAUUGAUUAAGUUCUCCUUGCCUCAGUUUCCUACCUAGAAAAUAUGGAAAUCACUACUUAACCUCUUAGAGUUAUUAUGAGGAUUAAAAGGUUGAUACAUGUAAGGUGCUUAACACGGUGCUUGGCACGUCGCAAGCAUUCAAGGGGAACUCCCAUUUCUGUUAUUUCCUUUUCCGGUUUCAGGUGUGAGCCCAUUCCUGAACCACCCUUUCUGAGUGUGAGUUCCCCAAAGUUUUGGGCUUCGUAAGUGGGGCCAGCAGGGAGACCAGCAGCUGCCUCUGGCCUGUGUCCCUGUGCCCUGUGACUGGGUUAGUCAAGGCAUCAUAGUUUGUUCCUUGGAGGGUUCAGCCUCGAGUGAACAGAGAAACCAAAGUGGGGUUGUAUAGACACUUCAGGAGGAGCUCAGGUCAGAACAUCCAGCUAAAAAUCUGCAGCCCUGGGACAGGAACGUUGGUUGGAAGCACCCUGAGAGGCAGGGACUGCAUGCAGAGUUUCCCUGGGGACCUCCUGGAGGACCGGGCCGGGCCUAGUCAGCGCUUUACAGUGUGCGAAAUGCUUCCAUUGUCUCGCCUGAUGCUCUUCACACCCGUACGGAGAGCUCACCCGAGGCCAUCUGUCCUAGAAGAGGCAGCCGAGCCUUCGAGAAGCUAGGUGACUUGCCAAAGCCACCUAGUGGCUUAGCAGAGAGUUGACCCCCGUUCUUCUGGUGCCUUCCAGCGUACCAUCCUGCCUCCCUCCACUGCAGUGGGGCGCCCCCAGUCCCUGGCAUACCGUAUGGGCAGCCCUCUCUGCCCAUUCCUCUGCUUCACACUGUACCCCUGCCCCUCCCACCCUUCCUUGUCCUAAGUUCUGCUUGCUUUUCCCCAAGUCAGAGAAGUCCAGCUGAGUCCCAUCCCGCCAGGGCUGAGAGGCUGAGCCCAGCAGCAUCCCUCGGUGGAGUGGGAUGGGGAGAGUCGAACUUAGCUUCAGAGUCUCCCUCAGCCAAGAGCUCCCCGGGGUUGGAUUGAGGGUCCCUCCAAGGCUCAAUCUGAGAUCCCUGAGGCCCCCCUAAAUUGGCAUUAUAGCUUCUUGAGCCUCCUGUAGUGUCAUCACAACCCUGCAGCCUCCUGGAAGUUCCCUGGCCUGGAGCAGACUCGGCACCGCACUCUCAGACCCCUCACCGCUCGGCGCUCCAUCCCUGAGCUGCAGCCUGGCCGGCCCACAUCCCUAAGAGCUGGAGCAGUGGAAGUGGUUUGUCGCUGGCGCAGAGGCACAGGAAGGAGCCCUCCACGUUCUCGCAGAGUGCCGCCCCGCAUACCGCCAGCAUGAGCUCGCACUCAUUCACGUCUGCCAGGCAGGAGGACAGACUCAUGGGCAGAAGAGAGGCAGCCUAGGCACCCCUGCCCCUGCCUCAAGCCCAGCAGGCAGAUCCUUGUCUCAUCCCCCCCCAAAGAAACAGGCUAGGCCUUGGGGCAAGAGUGGAAGUGGGUAUGAGUUAGCAGGAAGGAGGAACAGAUGAGCAGAGGGCAUGGAAAGGAAGAGGAAGAAGGAGAAGGGUGGCAGAAAAGAGUCCGUAAGUGGACAAAGAGGAAGGGUUCCUCCCUCCACACGGUCCCCACAUGUGCCCCUUGAGACCUUAGGGUCUCUGGGGAAGGGUGGUGACUUCACUGGCGUGCUUGCUUCCCCUGCUGGUUGAAGGUGGCCUCGCUUCCUUGACCAACCUGGCCAAGGUGCCCCUGUAGGGUAGGGCUGAAAUCUCCCUCCCUUGCCACUCUAUGAGGACCCCUUAUGGAGCCUUGUUAGACCCUGAACAUUUCAGGAGGAGGGCCCUAGGGCCCCUCUAUGCAGGGCAGCCAAGAUCUGCGGAGAUGGGAUCAAGGGCCCAAGGGCCUUCCCUUCCCUGGCUCAGGCUUCUCACCAAUGCAGUCCCAGCCGGAGGGCGAGGUCUCGAAGCCCUGGUCACAGAGGCAGCGGAAGGAGCCGUCGGUGUUGUCGCAGAAACCGUGGCUCCCACACAUGGUGUCGUUGGCACACUCGUCUAUGUCUGUGGGACAGGGGAGGCUACAGUGUAGGGUGUGCUCUCUAUUCGCUGGGAAUUCUUAUUUAUUUGGUCUACUAACACCAAGAUUUCUGAAAGCUAACUUCUGAAUACAGGAAAGGAAAACUCUAACACUGACAUUCCUCUUCAAUUUUUGUGUAAGCACUGCUGUAUGGAAAAUACACAAACUUCCAACAGCAGCAAAAAAUAGUUUCUAGCUGGAUACAUGAAAAAUAGGUGUCCUCAGGCUUCUCACCCUGGACACCCGCUCCCGACUCACCAGCACAGUCUCCAGUCGGGGCCACAUGGAAGCCGGGCUGGCAGCCCGGGACACAGCGGUAGGAGCCGGGGCUGUUCUCACACCUCCAGGCCCCACACGCCGAGCCUCCGAAGUCCUCACACUCAUCAGUGUCUGUCCCCAGAGUCAUGAGAGGGGACAGAAGUGGCCGGGUCACUACUCUGGCCCCACCUCUCUGGCAUUAAAAGGUCAUGCCCCACAACCUCUGGGGUCUUUGGUCUGUUCCAAACUACUGUGCUCGUGUCAACCCCCAAGCAUCAAGUUCAGGAUCAUUUCCCCUGACCCGCAGGGCUGAGCGUCUAGGAGGUGAGCGCUCUGCUAAUUAGGAGAGCACCGAGCUCUCAGCCUCUGUGACACUCUGUCCCCCACACCCUGCUCUCUACAGCAGAGCACUUUCUACUUCUCUUUAUAGAAAACCUUCCCCAAAGUGUAUUAUGGAGAGUCGUCUUCAUAUCUGUCUCCCUUGGUCCAUUUCAAGAUUGUCCAUAACUGUCUAUUUGUUCCAGCAAAAGACAUUAAACCCAGGUGGUGUUUAAUAAAUGUCUAUUGCAUCAGUUUGGCUUUAAAAACUAGAUUAUGUGCUCUGCUAGCACAAGGAGUCCCUGAGUCAGCAGAGGCUCAAUAAAUGCAUUGGAUGAUUAA